CGGGGGGAGCAAGCGUUGUUCGGAUUUACUGGGCGUAAAGGGCGCGUAGGCGGCGCAACAAGUCACUUGUGAAAUCUCCGGGCUUAACCCGGAGCGGCCAAGUGAUACUGUCGUGCUAGAGUGCGGAAGGGGCUACUGGAAUUCUCGGUGUAGCGGUGAAAUGCGUAGAUAUCGAGAGGAACACCUGCGGCGAAGGCGGGUAGCUGGGCCGACACUGACGCUGAGGCGCGAAAGCCAGGGGAGCGAACGGGAUUAGAUACCCCGGUAGUCCUGGCCUUAAACGAUGGAUGCUUGGUGUCCGGGGUUACAAAGUCCCCGGGUGCCGGCGCUAACGCAUUAAGCAUCCCGCCUGGGGAGUACGGUCGCAAGACUG
rnacentral:rRNA from 1 species